GCUACCGGAAGGCCUUGCGUAUGAUGAAAUAUGCUGAUCAUCAUGGUUUUCCUAUUGUUACUUUUGUUGACACCCCUGGGGCCUUCGCUGAUCUGAAAUCAGAGGAACUUGGUCAGGGUGAAGCAAUAGCCCAUAAUCUAAGGACAAUGUUUGGCCUGAAAGUGCCUAUUCUGACAGUUGUAACUGGCGAAGGUGGUUCAGGUGGAGCUCUUGCUAUUGCUUGUGCCAAUAAACUGUUUAUGCUGGAGAAUUCCGCUUUCUAUGUUGCAAGGUGAUAGUCUGUUUCGCUAUCCUUAAUUGUAUUAGUUAGGUGCAAGUUCUUUUACUUCAUAGAAGCUUUCUGUUAUGGCUGCCCCAUGAAACAUGUGUCAGUGAACAAUAAUGUUGUUGAAGCAAGCAGCUAGUAGCGGCUAGCUUUUGUAAUUACUAGAAUGGCAUCAUGGUAAGCGUAGGUACCCUGUUUGAACAAGCAAAUUUCUAUCUGCAUUUAUCGCAUGUGCCAAUGCUUGGUUCUCAGGAUUAGCUCCUUGUUGUUUACUUUGUGACUUCUAUUCCGCUUUUUUUUAUCCUUUCAUGUGAUUAUGUCUGAAAUUUUGUGGUUUUGUUUAUUGUAUAAGUCCUGAAGCAUGUGCUGCAAUAUUAUGGAAGUCUUCCCAAGCAGCUCCAAAGGUGCUGGAAUGGUUUGACUGUUAUGUUUAUGUGGUUUUUUUCAUUUUAAUUAAUCACAUUCACUGCCCUGUUCUAAUUUGUGUAGGCAGCUGAGAAACUAAGGAUAACAGCUCAAGAACAUUACAGGCUCAAAAUUGCCGAUGGCAUCAUUCCUGAGCCUCUAGGAGGUGCACAUGCAGAUCCUAUGUGGACUUCCCAACAAAUUAAGCUUGCAAUUAUCCAAGCCAUGGAGGAACUAGGGAAUAUGGACAAGGAAGAGUUGCUCCGUCACCGAAUGCGUAAGUUCAGAUAUAUUGGAGGCUUUCAAGAAGGUAUCCCAGUUGAGCCAGAGAGGAAACGCAACAUGAAGCCAUCUGAGGCCAACCAGCCAAAGACGGCUGAUAUAGAGCUGGAGCUUGAAAAUUUGAAGAAGAAGAUUCUAGAAUCCAGAAGACCAUCAUCUGAUCCAAUUUCGAGUGACGCAAUUGAGAAGCUCAAGCAAGAUAUAGACAAUGAGAUAACCAAUGCUUUUAUUUCAAUGGGCUUGCAGGAAAAGCUUGAAUCAGUCAAGUUGGAGUUAUCUAAAGCCCCGAAUCGUCCACCUAAUCAGCCCAUCAAUUGUAACUUAAAGGAGAAGGCAGACAAAAUAAUGGAAGAAUUUAAGCAUAAUCUGUCACGACCAGGAGCUUAUCUUGGGCUAAAGCAGAAGCUUGAAAAGUUGAACCUCGUUCAUCGGCUUAACGAGCUAAAAGACAGAAAUGAGAAACUAAAAGCAGAGAUUAACCAGAAAAUUCCAGAGGAUUUAAAAGCAAAGAUGGAACUUCUAAAAAAUGCUGAAGAAAAGUUGUCCAAAGGGGACCCAUUAGAUAAGGAUUUGGUGGAGGAAGCAGAAAAAGCUAAGAAAGAGCUGAUGAAAGUUCUGAAGUCAUCUGGGUUGCAGAUUGUUGAAGUAGCCAAGAGAAAUGUGGCAACUCCACCUCCUGCUUUACGAGAGAAAAUAGAGAGAGUUAAUAAAGAAAUCUCAGAGGAAAUUGAAAGAGCGAUAGAUGCAGCAGGCCUUAGUAACAAAAUUGAGGAGUUGAGAUCAGAGAUAACGGAAGGUUCAAGUUCAGGAAAAGUUGAAAAAUUAGAAUGUGAAAUCAAGGAGAAGAUUCUUUCUGCUUUAGAUGCCAUGACAUUGAAGGAGAAGUUUGAGAAUCUAACAGUGGAGUUGGCAUCCGCCUCAGAAACAUACAAAGAUAAGGUUGCUGCUGAAAGUGGCAGUUUGUGACAUACCUUUACUGAAAGUUCGAAAGUUGAAAUUCUUUUGGUACACAGAGAGUUAUGAGUGCAUGUUCAAAGACACUGGGAUUUGUAUUUUUCAAGUAUUUUGUGUAUAUGGUGUUUGACAUCACCCUCGUGAUGGGAUAUCAUGUAAUGUUUUCCGCUAUUGAGUUAAUGUAUGAUCAGAGACAAUGAGUGUAGAAUAAAUUUUAGGGGUGACAAAGCAUUUUCUUUAAUGUAUUAAUUGUCCUGUUAGAUUAAUGUAAGGUUAUGUCAAUAUAUCUUAAAAUAUAACAAAGUUAGAAAUUUUUAAAUAGUAAUUUUUGAAAAUU
rnacentral:misc_RNA from 1 species